rnacentral:piRNA from 1 species
UGAGAUCUAGUUUGUCCUGAAUAUUGUA